rnacentral:rRNA from 1 species
UCAGAACGUCGUGAGACAGUUCGGUCCCUAUCCGUCGCGGGCGCAGGAAAUUUGAGAGGAGCUGUCCUUAGUACGAGAGGACCGGGAUGGACACACCGCUGGUGUACCAGUUGUUCCGCCAGGAGCAUCGCUGGGUAGCUAUGUGUGGCAGGGAUAAACGCUGAAAGCAUCUAAGCGUGAAGCCCCCCUCAAGAUGAGAUUUCCCAUUUCUUCGGAAAGUAAGAUCCCUGAAAGAUGAUCAGGUAGAUAGGUUUGGAGUGGAAGUGUAGCGAUACAUGGAGCGGACAAAUACUAAUCGAUCGAGGACUUAACCAAAA